GCUUAACCGGAGAAGUGCAUCGGAAACUGGAUAACUUGAGUGCAGAAGAGGGUAGUGGAACUCCAUGUGUAGCGGUGGAAUGCGUAGAUAUAUGGAAGAACACCAGUGGCGAAGGCGGCUACCUGGUCUGCAACUGACGCUGAGACUCGAAAGCAUGGGUAGCGAACAGGAUUAGAUACCCUGGUAGUCCAUGCCGUAAACGAUGAGUGCUAGGUGUUGGAGGGUUUCCGCCCUUCAGUGCCGGAGCUAACGCAUUAAGCACUCCGCCUGGGGAGUACGACCGCAAGGUUGAAACUCAAAGGAAUUGACGGGGGCCCGCACAAGCGGUGGAGCAUGUGGUUUAAUUCGAAGCUACGCGAAGAACCUUACCAGGUCUUGACAUCUUGCGCCAACCCUAGAGAUAGGGCGUUUCCUUCGGGAACGCAAUGACAGGUGGUGCAUGGUCGUCGUCAGCUCGUGUCGUGAGAUGUUGGGUUAAGUCCCGCAACGAGCGCAACCCUUGUUACUAGUUGCCAGCAUUAAGUUGGGCGCUCUAGUGAGACUGCCGGUGACAAACCGGAGGAAGGUGGGGACGACGUCAGAUCAUCAUGCCCCUUAUGACCUGCGCUACACACGUGCUACAAUGGACGGUACAACG
rnacentral:rRNA from 1 species